UACGAAGGGGGCUAGCGUUGCUCGGAAUUACUGGGCGUAAAGGGCGCGUAGGCGGACAGUUAAGUCAGAGGUGAAAGCCCAGGGCUCAACCCUGGAAUUGCCUUUGAUACUGGCUGUCUUGAGUGCGGGAGAGGUGUGUGGAACUCCGAGUGUAGAGGUGAAAUUCGUAGAUAUUCGGAAGAACACCAGUGGCGAAGGCGACACACUGGCCCGUAACUGACGCUGAGGCGCGAAAGCGUGGGGAGCGAACAGG
rnacentral:rRNA from 1 species